CGGGGUGCAGCAGGCGCGAAAACUUUACAAUGCUGGCAACAGCGAUAAGGGGACCUCGAGUGCCAGGAUACAAUCUUGGCUGUCGCGAUGCCUAAAAAGCAUUGCAUAGCAAGGGCCGGGCAAGACCGGUGCCAGCCGCCGCGGUAACACCGGCGGCUCGAGUGGUAACCGCUAUUAUUGGGUCUAAAGGGUCUGUAGCCGGCCGGAUAAGUCUUUUGGGAAAUCCAGCUGCUCAACAGUUGGGCUUUCAGAAGAUACUGUUCGGCUCGAGACCGGGAGAGGUGAGAGGUACUUCAGGGGUAGGGGUGAAAUCUUGUAAUCCUUGAAGGACCACCAGUGGCGAAGGCGUCUCACCAGAACGGAUCUGACGGCAAGGGACGAAAGCUAGGGGCACGAACCGGAUUAGAUACCCGGGUAGUCCUAGCCGUAAACGAUACUCGCUAGGUGUCAGCCACGGUGCGACCGUGGUUGGUGCCGUAGGGAAGCCGUGAAGCGAGCCACCUGGGAAGUACGGCCGCAAGGCGUGAAACUUAAAGGAAUUGGCGGGGGA
rnacentral:rRNA from 1 species